GUCUCUGUAGCUCAGUUGGAUAGAGCAUUCGCCUCCUAAGCGAAAGGUCGUAAGUUCAAAUCUUAUCAGGGACACCA
rnacentral:tRNA from 1 species